AGAGCACCCCACUUGAACACUUGAGUGAGCUGGGUAAUAAGCCUGGAAAACCUGUCCCGUGCUUGGCCAGUCCCAGAAUCCACCCAGGCAUGAACCAGGACUGAAAAUCUUCCUCUGUGGUGGUUAGAGGUGCUGCUGUUGCCCGGCCCCAGGUGGGUAAAGCCACAAGCUUCAAGAUGGCACUUAGAGUGACCUCAAAUGCUACUUUUAGCUUGUCCCCUCCCCGGUUUUGCCUCAUUUGUACCCAUCCCAUUCCCCACUGCUGGCCCUCAUCCAUGGUGGGGUGUCCUGGGCAAAGCCAGCCUGGAGAAGAUGAGAGGAACAAACACCAGCUGGAGGCCCCUGUGAGCUGUUCUGGGCAGCACUUUUGAUCACUGUGGUAAUGCAGUUUCAGCAUCAGCGCUAAAUAUUAAUUCCCCCCCAAACAACUCCAUGUGUGUCUUCCUGAGGUCUCACACUUGCCUCAUCCACCAUGUCAGAUGCUGCUUUAUCUUCUAAACAAAUACCCUGGUGCUACCACGUUUGUUGGUUUGAAUCCCAGGAUUUCUCCUGGCAUAUGUUAUUUUCUUCCCAGAAGCCACAAGCCCUGUAAACAAACGUUUACAGGCACUGGGAACACGGGACCUGCAUUUUUCCAUGGCUGACUUAUUUGUCUGGCAAGAGCCAUAAAUUCUGGAGGGUCAGGGCUGAAGUCAGCCCUGGGAGCUGGGCUUAAGAAAAAAUUAUUGGACAGGCAUUUGUUUGUGGAGUUUCUUGCCAUUUCCUCUAAAACACAUUAUUCUUGGGGAAGACGAUGGGUUAUUAGGGGUGUCACAUGUCUGGUCCCCCUGUUCCUACAGCGUAGAUGUGUCCUUGGAGACCAGGGGGAGAAAGAGGAGCUUUACCCUCGGUGUGCUCUGAUCCAGGCUUGGUGUCCAGCUCUGCUUUGGGGCAAUGUCCAAGUCUGUGUCCCCCCCAGUUGCCUCAGUUUCCCCUUUCUACAAGUUGUUUUUCCUGGGUUUAAGUGUAAGUUGCUCAGGGCAGGGACAGUAUUGCAUCAGAGUCAUCCCUCAGUGACAGCAUUGCUCCUGUGGGGAGGGUCCUUCUAGACCCCCAUGGGUGGGGGCUGUGGUUGAGGGGCUUGGGUGUUGCUGGGGAGGAGAGGGUACAGGAGCUGAGAUGGGAAUGGGGGCAACAGCAAGGUUAGAAGAGAGAUCCAGCCUAGGGCUGCAGAGGAGGCCAGUGAGCAGUGAUGCAUCCUGAUUUUGGGGGGCUUGAGGGUGCUUUCCUACCUUUGAAAGAGAAAGGGGAUGACAAAGGUGAAUGCGGUGGGUUCUUCCCCUCCCGGCAGCUGCUGCGGAAAAUCCCGGGGAGAUAAAUCGUGGGAAUGGGUAAGGGGAGUUUCAGCCUCUUUUUUCCACCAGCCUGCCCAGCUCAGGGGCAUCUCCUCCGCCCGGAUGGACUUCGCCCCUCGCCCAUUCUCUCCCCCGUAGCCCCCGGGCUCAGGAGGGGAGCCGAGGGGAGGGGGAACCGCCAGGGUGUUCGAGGGGAUUGUCAUGGUUACCUCCCUGACAAAACAAAUGGCUCCACUGGGUGAUGAUGGUGAUGGUCACCCAGACAGCUCCGGACACCUUGAGUCAGCGGUGGGGGCGAGAGACCCACCCUGGGGAUCCAGAAGCCCCCCAUCCCAGGGGAGCCAGACACCCUCCCGGCUCCGGGCAGAGCCUCCCCGCCGGAGCACAUGUUGCUGCAGCCCGUUCGAGACAGCGCUCCGCAGCCGUGCCUGUCGCUUUCGGGAUUCCUCCUGCUCCUCCUGCCCUCCCCAGCCCAGCCGCAGAGGGGCUGGAAGACUGGAUGAAGUUGCUCCAACCCCCCCAUCCCUUUCUUCCUUCUCCUCCUCUCUCCCAGGAAAGGGCGCUCCGGCUGUCGUCAUCCCAGCGAGCCACUGGAUGUCAGUGUUGAUUGAGACAGACGACGUGGAAUGAAUAUUUUACCCAGCUGCAGAAAACCAGGCGUCCUCUGAGCAGUGAGGAUGUGCCCCAGGUCUAGCUCGGACGUGGAGGCGAGAUCUUCAAGGGAAGGCGCUUGUGGCCUGUCGGGUUUACAGCAGGGCGGGGCAGUGAUUCAGCUGCUCAAAAAUGCGUCUGAUGCAAGGUGUGACACCAGGGCUGGGCUUGACACGGCAGCCUUCCUGUCCUGGGGGGCAGAAGCAGCCGAGCUGCCACUGAUUUCUGCCCUUCAGGCAGCAGGGCUGGGUGGAGCUGUGUCGGGUUUUAUCCCAGGUCCUGCUUUGACUCUCCCUAUCCUGUUGUCAGCUGUGGAUGCCGCAGAUCCUGUGGUGUGGUACAGCUGGGACCCCAUCCCACUCCUGGGAGUCGGGUCCUGCCAGAAGCCAGGCUGUGUGCUCACAGUUUUGCCUAUUUUCCUUUUCAAUGCAUGAAAAUACACCUCGGAAGAGCAUUACUCUGCCCCUGCCUUUACUCCACGUGCUCAGACAGAUUUUUUGAGGGCUCAUUAGUGCUUAGAGACACAGACGGCCACCCAGAAAGCUCCAAGCAGUGCUUCAGUCCCCACCCCCGUUUUUCAGGCACGUUAACACCUUUUCCCAUUCCAUAAAAUCCAGCUCCAGCCUCUCGGGAGUGCUGGGACAGACGCUGCAGCCCUGUGAGGGGCUGGAGCCUGUGCUCCGGCUCACAGCCCUGCGCUCCCUGCGCAUCACCGGGACGUCGCAGCUGCAGCAGUGCCUUCCCUGUCAGUCGGACACAGGGUUUGGCCGAGGGUAUUGCCUGCAGUGGGAUGAUCACACUUCCGUGUCUCCUUCCCCUCUGUGGCCAGGAAGAUCAGUGGAUUGUCAUGGAAAGGAAGGGGGGGGAAAAAAGAUCGAUCCAGUAGCAGCCUAGUGUGCCAGGUCCAGAGCACAGCUGGCCAAGGGACAAUGUCUGUCCCCAGCCCUGAGGUACUCCCUAGCUGAUGGGAUUACAGGUGUAUUUUGAGGGCUGAAAGUAGCAACCCUCAGUGGUUUCCCUUUUUCCUGGGAUGCCAGAUGCGAGGUCGGGAGGCACCUGGCCAGCUCUGUGGGAUGGCCCCAUGCCUGCUGUGUGCAGGAGGCAGGACAUGUUUGGUGGCAGUGAGGGGACAUACUGAGGACUGGGUGUGUCUAGGGGUACCCUGUGCAGCGUUAAGCUGUUGGUAAUUUUUUUGGGAUGCAGGGUCCUGCCAGGUCCCAUCCUGAGAGUCCAGGCCCCGUGGCCUUAACAGAGACUGAGUGCACAUCCCAGAGCAGCAAAGGCAGGAUGGGGAGCAGGCAAGGGGCCAGUGCCGAGCUCCUGGGUGGCACAGGGGUGAGAUUCCAGCCUUCCCACUGCUCUCCCUCACUCCAGCCUUUCUGCUGCUCUCCCUUUCCAUGCUGCAGUCACUUGAUGGCGUUGGUGACACAAGCUGUGUGAAGCAGCCCCAUGGCUCUGCUGGCAGCAUCCCCUAUCAAAGAGUUUUUGCCAGGAAGAGCCCUCUGAGCCCUCCCUGUCCUUGUGGGGCCGAUUUUUUGGCUGGCACAGCAGUGAGAGCUGAUGAGAGAGCCAGGCUCCUCUGAGCCACCUCUGAGCUGCAGGAGUGGUGCAACUUUCCUGGCUGGAUUAAACAGGACAUGGCACAGGGCUGUGCAUCUCACAAAGGGUCCCUUAGUGCUUCUUCUGGCCCAGCUGAUGCAGAAAUCCCUGCUGGCAAGUGGUUUCCAUGGGAGCUAGGUUCCCAAUCUUCCAUGAGUGCAGGAGAUGUGAGGGGCAUGGAUCUCACCCAUGGCUCUGUACUAAGUCCCCAGUUCCAAGCUGAAGUUAUGCUCCUGGAGCCCAAAUUCACCCCUCUGGCAGUCCUGUGAUGAAUUCCUGUUGUGCCAAGCUGUUAGAGAGCUUCUUCCCGUUAUUAAUUCUUCCCUAAGGUAAAAUCAUUCUCCCUCCUUCCUCCCUCACCUGGCAUUUAAUCACUUCCCAAUACCUUCAUGGCCUCUGCCACAUAUUGAAGUGAGGGGACCUUCACUGUCUCUCCCUGUGGCAGGUGAACCCUUGCCAGCUCCUGCCUUCCCAGUCCCUGUUGGCAUGGCUUGGAGCAUCCUGGUGUGGGAUGGCCUCCCCUGGCUCAGGUGGGACUCCAUCCAUCUCCUGACUGUGGGGGUUGCAUCCCCAUGGAUGCAUCUCCAACCUCCCUGGGCAGCUCCUGGCGUGAGCAGCAUUUGUGCUGGAAGGAAGGGUGGAUUAAAUCCGGAAUUUAAGGUUUUUGGCCGGGAUUCAGGGGCGUGCCUUGGGAUUACUGCCCUCCAUCAUCAUCUUCGCUGCUGUUUCCUGUGCUCAGUUUCCCCGGCUGCUCUCCCCCAUCCUGGACAGCCCUUCUUGCUCUCCCUGGCUCUCCCUUUGUAUUUUCUGAGCACCGUUUUCCUGCCCGAGCACUCAUCGAGCUUGUGGCCUUGAUGUCUUCUGUGGCAUUUGCAUAUAAAGGUGGGCUUUAAUAAAGCAGGAAUGAGAAAUGGA